rnacentral:tRNA from 2 species
UCCGUUGUAGUCUAUAUGGUCAGGAUACUCGGCUCUCGCCCGAGCGACCCGGGUUCGAGUCCCGGCAACGGAA